rnacentral:ncRNA from 3 species
UGUGGGAGCUGGCUUGCCUGCGAUAGCGGUGUGUCAGUCCACCGUUAUGCUAACUGGCCCACCGCUAUCGCAGGCAAGCCAGCUCCCACC